rnacentral:rRNA from 1 species
UACAUGCAAGUCGAACGAACUCUGGUAUUGAUUGGUGCUUGCAUCAUGAUUUACAUUUGAGUGAGUGGCGAACUGGUGAGUAACACGUGGGAAACCUGCCCAGAAGCGGGGGAUAACACCUGGAAACAGAUGCUAAUACCGCAUAACAACUUGGACCGCAUGGUCCGAGUUUGAAAGAUGGCUUCGGCUAUCACUUUUGGAUGGUCCCGCGGCGUAUUAGCUAGAUGGUGGGGUAACGGCUCACCAUGGCAAUGAUACGUAGCCGACCUGAGAGGGUAAUCGGCCACAUUGGGACUGAGACACGGCCCAAACUCCUACGGGAGGCAGCAGUAGGGAAUCUUCCACAAUGGACGAAAGUCUGAUGGAGCAACGCCGCGUGAGUGAAGAAGGGUUUCGGCUCGUAAAACUCUGUUGUUAAAGAAGAACAUAUCUGAGAGUAACUGUUCAGGUAUUGACGGUAUUUAACCAGAAAGCCACGGCUAACUACGUGCCAGCAGCCGCGGUAAUACGUAGGUGGCAAGCGUUGUCCGGAUUUAUUGGGCGUAAAGCGAGCGCAGGCGGUUUUUUAAGUCUGAUGUGAAAGCCUUCGGCUCAACCGAAGAAGUGCAUCGGAAACUGGGAAACUUGAGUGCAGAAGAGGACAGUGGAACUCCAUGUGUAGCGGUGAAAUGCGUAGAUAUAUGGAAGAACACCAGUGGCGAAGGCGGCUGUCUGGUCUGUAACUGACGCUGAGGCUCGAAAGUAUGGGUAGCAAACAGGAUUAGAUACCCUGGUAGUCCAUACCGUAAACGAUGAAUGCUAAGUGUUGGAGGGUUUCCGCCCUUCAGUGCUGCAGCUAACGCAUUAAGCAUUCCGCCUGGGGAGUACGGCCGCAAGGCUGAAACUCAAAGGAAUUGACGGGGGCCCGCACAAGCGGUGGAGCAUGUGGUUUAAUUCGAAGCUACGCGAAGAACCUUACCAGGUCUUGACAUACUAUGCAAAUCUAAGAGAUUAGACGUUCCCUUCGGGGACAUGGAUACAGGUGGUGCAUGGUUGUCGUCAGCUCGUGUCGUGAGAUGUUGGGUUAAGUCCCGCAACGAGCGCAACCCUUAUUAUCAGUUGCCAGCAUUAAGUUGGGCACUCUGGUGAGACUGCCGGUGACAAACCGGAGGAAGGUGGGGAUGACGUCAAAUCAUCAUGCCCCUUAUGACCUGGGCUACACACGUGCUACAAUGGAUGGUACAACGAGUUGCGAACUCGCGAGAGUAAGCUAAUCUCUUAAAGCCAUUCUCAGUUCGGAUUGUAGGCUGCAACUCGCCUACAUGAAGUCGGAAUCGCUAGUAAUCGCGGAUCAGCAUGCCGCGGUGAAUACGUUCCCGGGCCUUGUACACACCGCCCGUCACACCAUGAGAGUUUGUAACACCCAAAGUCGGUGGGGUAACCUUUUAGGAACCAGCCGCC